rnacentral:rRNA from 1 species
UACGUAGGGUGCAAGCGUUGUCCGGAAUUAUUGGGCGUAAAGGGCUCGUAGGCGGUCCAUCGCGUCGGGAGUGAAAAGCUGGGGCUUAACCCCAGUCCUGCUUCCGAUACGGGUGGACUAGAGGUAGGUAGGGGAGAUCGGAAUUCCUGGUGUAGCGGUGAAAUGCGCAGAUAUCAGGAGGAACACCGGUGGCGAAGGCGGAUCUCUGGUACGUGACUGACGCUGAGACGCGAAAGCGUGGGGAGCAAACAGG